AGUUUAGCCCAGAUUUGAUGAGGUUUCAGGCUUCUUGGGGGGUGGUUUCUGAAUCUGGGACAAGACGAUUGUGUCUAAUCGAAAUUCUGUCACACACCCCACCUUGCAGAGUGCUGUGCGCAAGGCCAGCUUAAGGCUACAUCCUUUCUUGGGUGAAGGUUGUCAGGCAAGCGGCUCUAUUCUCGGAAAUUUUCUCUCCCCAGUCAGGCACUAGUGUCCUCCUUUCCUCUUUUGAAUCCCCAGGUCAAAACUACAAUGUGAAUGGCUGAUGACAGUUUAAAGUGUUACACCUCCCGGGGGGGAGAGAAUUUGAAUCGGCAUCAAAGCUUUGAGCUAAUGGGUGAAGCUCUGAAAGAGAAACCCCAAGUACCAGGAGAUGCUCUUUUAAUACUACAGCAUGAGGCAGGAGGGUUGGGGGUGGACCAAGGCCUUCCCAGCAUCCUGAUGGCACAUCAGACGCACAAUCGUCCACUCUGUUUACACGUAAGGUCGAAAGUGGUUAUUUUGGUGAUCUCUAAUCACGGAGCAAAAAUUUGGAGAACUUCACAGAAAAUAACUGAAAGAAUAUGUAGAAUUUGCUUUCUCAAUUUGGGGAAUCACUCUCUUAAAUUCCAGCAUCUUACACACUGAAUUAUGAGGACAAGAAAUUAAAUGAUCAUCUACACCAAGUGGAGCUUCUAAUGGUUAACUUCUACUUCUCAAAAUCCCGAAUCAAUGUCUGUUUUCAUACAGGAAAUACGUACCUGACAAACUAGAGGUCUCUACCGCAAAUUAGCUAAUUACUUUUGCAAACCACAUGACCUUUGCCAACAUCCAUCGGGCUGCAUUAUGUUUGAAAAUGGAACGGACAUGUACCCUGAAUUCUGCACUCACAAGAGAUAUUCUUCUCUUUGCAAGAAUGAACAUCCAAGGAGCAGACACUAAAACAAGAGAGUGUUUUUCUGACUUUGUUGCCCAAUUUUAACUCUUCUCGCCUGAAAUGGGUGUUGCACAUAUAACAAAUAGUGAACAGACUUUCAUUAUCUAUCAUCUAUCAAUCAUUCGCGUUUAUAAAGGAUCCUUCAUGUGUGCAUUUUAAAGUGAUGCACUAAAAGAUGGAAAUUAUGCUUUCAGAUAAAAGCGGUUCUAAAAAUAUAAUAAAUGUAGGUUUAAAUUUAGAUAAUGCGGCAGUAGAUUUCACUUAAAAGGGAGUGGAUUUGAAAGUGAAGGACAGCAAAAGAAGGCCUACAGCCAUACCCAAUUUAUGUUUGACGAGACUUAAGAUCCAUCACGUCUAUGGAGAGGUCUUGAGAAACACAUCUUUAUGAAAAUGGGGACCUAAGGACUGGCUGUAUGACACAUCUAACUUAGUCUUGCAUGUCAGACUAGUGUGCUUGGUGCCUAAAAACGACAGGAGCCUUUGUUUUUCUUUUUUUUAACCCGACUAUAAAUGCUCUUUUGUUUCCAUAGCUUAGGGUAUAGUGCCGGGAAAAUCUGUGUCCUGUACCCUCAUGUUAGUCUACGGAUAGUUUCUGGUCAUUUAAACAGAAGAACCAAAAGAACACUCACCUGGAACUUCCAACUCUCAAUCUACCUUGGUUCAAGGAGCGGUCACAGUUAAGAGGACAAAUGUUGAGAGGGUGGAGAGACGCUUGAGAGCACAUACAGAUAUUUAACAGCAAUCAACGAAAGUCCGAAGUAGUAGAUACUGGUGGGAUGACGUUUUGUAGUCAGUAAGGAGCUGACCACUGAUUUUAAAACUAGAAGCACUUUAUCCUAAAAGCAGACCAGAGUGAUCCUAGAAGAUAUUGGAUAAGUCAUUUUUAAUCUCACACAGGAAAAAGAGCUUUAGUUCUAAAUAAUUUCAUCAAAAGUGGUACCAAAAAAAAAAAAAAAAGUCAUGUUAAUCAUCCAAAUAGUAUGUCGAGCAAAAAUGUUUGCC